UACGAAGGGAGCUAGCGUUGUUCGGAAUCACUGGGCGUAAAGCGCACGUAGGCGGAUGUGUCAGUCAGGGGUGAAAUCCCGGAGCUCAACUUCGGAACUGCCUUUGAUACAGCACGUCUUGAGUCCGAUAGAGGUGGGUGGAAUUCCUAGUGUAGAGGUGAAAUUCGUAGAUAUUUAGGAAGAACACCAGUGGCGAAGGCGGCUCACGUGGUCCGGUACUGACGGCUGAGGUGCGAAAGCGUGGGGAGCAAACAGGG
rnacentral:rRNA from 1 species